CCCAAUUAGUCCACCUUUCACAUAACAAUGUCACCUGUGAUGCAAAUUGUGACCUUAACUAUUUCUAAGAGGAAAAAAAUAGUUAUUCUUUUUACCUGCGUAAUUUCCAAUCAUUGUGACGGUAACAUCAGAAUUAGGUCCAAUGACAGCAAUAGUAUGAUGGCGUCGAGGAGAAAGAGGAAGAGCAGGCCCAUGAUUCUUAAGAAGAACAAUGCCCUGUCUAGCAGCUUCAAGUGCGAGUUCUUGGUCUGUUAGAAAACGGAUCAUGGAUCACCCAUGUGGACCGACCCAAUCCAACCCGUCACUUAUUUGUUUUUUGAUUAUCAGAAUAGAAAGAAGAUAGGGGAAUAACUUGUUGAUUUAAAUAAAAAAAGGGGUGGGAACAGUUAACUGUUCACCCGCCCAAUUCCCUUAUAAGUAUGCUUCUUCAGACAACAAAACCAAGAAAAAAGAUCAGAAACAAAUAAAAAUACAGUGCAUUUUUAACAAAAACACCAAGAGAAAAGAGCAUUUAGUUUGUGACAUCAAGGCUUUGUUUCCUAGAGAUUCGAAGCAAACUUGGGCAGAUCCUUUCGGAAGCAGAAUCUAUUUCCGCUGCAAACUAAAGGUACACUGUUUUUGCUCCGAAAAUUACUAUCAAUAUCCAAUUGUUUCAAUUGAAAGUUACAAUUACAAUUAACUUCCCAAACAGUAUCUUCCUUCCUCUUAUCUAAUCAAAUCUAAUUUUUGCUUAUCCCCUUGUUGAAUAAGAAUAAUUGGGGAAAAAUAAUCUCCAAUAAACGCAAAGACAUCUUUACGUGGAGAUUUUACCCAAAAAAGAACAAGGCAAAAAAAAAAAAAAUGAUUCAAGAUUUAAUAACUCCAAGAACUGAUGCUUGAAGGGACAGGGAGUGCUUAGCAUCACCAAUGUGAAGACUGUGUUCACCUAUAGGAAUUCUUCGAAUACCAGCCUUAUCUACCACACUUAAAUACUUGCACACAUGAAUAUUUAUCGCCACAUGUUGUUGUGAUCUUGCUGGGACGUGCACUUUUUGAAAUGCGACCAAUUGUUUAUGUGGCGCCCAUAGCCCAACGGGUGGCUUUGAAAAUACGAGCAAUGUGUGCGAACCGUCCUUUGAUCCCACGUUUUUCACAUCAAUAUGAACCUGAAUUGAUAGCUUGCUGCAUUUUGCGUGUGUCACUCGGAUUGCCUUGUUGGAUAUGCUAGUGGUGUUGAAUGUAUGACGGCCGUCUAUUGGAAUGGCCAGUGUUUUUGGAGCUUCAAAAAUCGUGGUUACGAAUUUUGUGUAGCUUAAUCCAUGCCCGAAUGGGUACACUAAUGGACCUUUGUAGAAACGGUAAGUUCUACCAGGGUAGCCUUUGGCUAAGUUUGAUCGCAUUUCCAUUGUUGUCAUUGGUAAAUUGUUUAGGUACUCCUGUGGAUACCAUGUCAUUGGCAGCUUCCCAUCUGAAAAUAGUAGUAUACAAUCAGUAUAUAAUUGGGACACGUUAAUCGUAAUAAGAAUCAUUUGUAUUUAUUAGCUCUAUUCACUAUGCUAUUUGAGUUGUGGAUCCCUUAGGGAAAAUGAGGAUUAUUUGCACCAUAUGGACUGAAGUAACGUGGAUUGGAUUUAAAUCAAAAACGUCAUUCAAAUGUCUCGAAAAAUGAGUGUGCUACAAUAAGUGAAAGUCCACUUUUGUGCAAAGGUUUUAGUAAUUUAACCUGGAUUAUGGGCUCCAAAAAGGACAUCAGCAAUGGCAGCACCACCAGCUUGUCCAGGAUAGCCAGCCCACACUAUACCGCCAAUUCGAGGAUCGUCAUUGGCAAACGUAACAUCAACUGGGCCUCCAGACAUGAGGACCAAUACCACAGGACCUUUCGAGGCCUUGGAUACUUCGGAGAUGAGUUCUUGUUGGAAUCCAGGCAGUAGUAACCCAGUUCUAUCUCUGAAUUCAGCCUCAAUAGACUGGUCUAGGCCCAUUACUAGCACUGUUGCAUCCGCUUGAUGUGCAGCAUUUACAGCUCCAGCAAAUAAUUUGUCGUCAGUGCAUGCUACAUCACCACAACCUUUUUCGUGAAUGGUCUUUGCAUACUUUGUUAUUCCUUGUAAUGGGCUUGUGUAUCCACAUGCAACACCUAUAUCAAAAGAAGCCCAAUUAGUCCACCUUUCACAUAACAAUGUCACCUGUGAUGCAAAUUGUGACCUUAACUAUUUCUAAGAGGAAAAAAAUAGUUAUUCUUUUUACCUGCGUAAUUUCCAAUCAUUGUGACGGUAACAUCAGAAUUAGGUCCAAUGACAGCAAUAGUAUGAUGGCGUCGAGGAGAAAGAGGAAGAGCAGGCCCAUGAUUCUUAAGAAGAACAAUGCCCUGUCUAGCAGCUUCAAGUGCGAGUUCUUGGUGGGACGGGCUGCAAACAUCUCUUGGGCCAAGAUGCCCA
rnacentral:lncRNA from 1 species